rnacentral:rRNA from 2 species
GCGGAGGAAAAGAAACUAACAAGGAUUCCCCUAGUAACUGCGAGUGAAGCGGGAAGAGCUCAAAUUUUGAAUCUGGCGGUCUUUGGCCGUCCGAGUUGUAAUCUAGAGAAGCGUUUUCCGCGCUGGACCGUGUAUAAGUCUCCUGGAAGGGAGCGUCAUAGAGGGUGAGAAUCCCGUCUUUGACACGGACUACCAGUGCUAUGUGAUGCGCUCUCGACGAGUCGAGUUGUUUGGGAAUGCAGCUCAAAAUGGGUGGUAAAUUCCAUCUAAAGCUAAAUACAGGCGAGAGACCGAUAGCGAACAAGUACCGUGAGGGAAAGAUGAAAAGAACUUUGGAAAGAGAGUUAAACAGUACGUGAAAUUGCUGAAAGGGAAACGCUUGAUGUCAGUCGCGUCGGCCAGGGAUCAACCUUGCUUCUCGCUCGGUGUACUUCCUGGUCGACGGGUCAGCAUCAGUUUCGGUCGCCGUACAAGGGCGAGGGGAAUGUGGCACUCUUCGGGGUGUGUUAUAGCCUUUCGUCGUAUGCGGCGCUCGGGACUGAGGAACUCAGCAUGACUUCGCGUCUGUGCUUAGGAU